UGCGAGAGGCCCAAACGUUAUUCGGAAUUACUGGGCUUAAAGAGUUCGUAGGCGGCAUUGCAAGUAGGGUGUGAAAGCCCUCGGCUCAACCGAGGAAUUGCGCUCUAAACUGCAGUGCUUGAGGAACCUAGAGGUGAGCAGAACAGAUGGUGGAGCGGUGAAAUGCGUUGAUAUCAUCUGGAAUACCGGAGGCGAAGGCGGCUCACUGGGAGUUUUCUGACGCUGAGGAACGAAAGCCAGGGUAGCGAACGGG
rnacentral:rRNA from 1 species